rnacentral:rRNA from 1 species
GACGAACGCUGGCGGCGUGCUUAACACAUGCAAGUCGAACGGAAAGGCCCUGCUUUUGUGGGGUGCUCGAGUGGCGAACGGGUGAGUAACACGUGAGUAACCUGCCCUUUACUUUGGGAUAACUUCAGGGAACUGGGGCUAAUACCGGAUAGGAGCUCCUGCUGCAUGGUGGGGGUUGGAAAGUUUCGGCGGUUGGGGAUGGACUCGCGGCUUAUCAGCUUGUUGGUGGGGUAGUGGCUUACCAAGGCUUUGACGGGUAGCCGGCCUGAGAGGGUGACCGGCCACAUUGGGACUGAGAUACGGCCCAGACGCCAACGGGAGGCAGCAGGGGGAAAUAUUGCACAAUGGGCGGAAGCCGGAUGCAGCAACGCCGCGUGCGGGAUGCCGGCCUUCGGGUUGAAAACCGCUUUCGCCUGUGACGAAGCGUGAGUGACGGUAAUGGGUAAAGAAGCACCGGCUAACUACGUG